rnacentral:misc_RNA from 1 species
GUCGCUGUACAUCAACUGGCGGCUUGCGAUCCUGCUGUUCGUCCUGUGCGUCGUUUUCACCAUCCUGACCACGCUCGUGGUGCGCAAGACCUACGGCCUGCAGAUGGAGGUCGAGGAGCAUUACGGCGAUCUCGCUGCUCGUGCCUCGGACGCCCUCGGCAACGUGGCGCUGGUGCAGAGCUUCGUGCGCGUCGAAGCCGAGGUG